rnacentral:rRNA from 1 species
UACGUAGGGGGCUAGCGUUGUCCGGAAUCAUUGGGCGUAAAGCGCGCGUAGGCGGCCCAGUAAGUCCGUUGUAAAAGUCAAAGGCUCAACCUUUGAAAGCCGAUGGAUACUGCUGGGCUAGAGUCCGGAAGAGGCGAGUGGAAUUCCUGGUGUAGCGGUGGAAUGCGCAGAUAUCAGGAGGAACACCGGUGGCGAAGGCGGGUCUCUGGGCCGUAACUGACGCUGAGACGCGAAAGCGUGGGGAGCGAACAGG